GAUUUGUUGAUUGUCAGCCCUGUGUUAAAAAUAAUAUUUGAGACUAAAUUCAUGACUAGAAUAGAUAAUAGAAUUAGUGGAGACUAGAAGUCACUCCGGAUUAUAAGUCACACCAGCCAAAAAAUGCAUAAUGAAGAAGAAAAAAACAUAUGUAGCAGAGCGGCAUAUUUGUAAGUGUACUUCAAGGUAGUAAAGUUGCCAACAACGCCACCUGGUAAUACCAGGACACAGUGUUUUUCCCCACCCACUAUGGACACACAGGUUCGUUGACUGAAUAUGGCAUGAGACAUGAAUACACUUUACAAUGAAUUUAUUAUCCAUUUUUGCAAAGGGUUAAUCACAUACAUCCUCGACCAGUCCUGUGCGUUCAUUGUCCAUUGGGUCGCAUGGCCUCGUUGCUUGGAAUUACCUUAGGACCAUUAUCAGAAUCAAUAUCGCGCCUCACAGUAGCGCUUCCCACAAGACGAAGACUUCAGAGAGCGAGUCCUUUCACCAAGUGCCACGACCACCGAACAGACCAGGUACACGGAGAAAGAAAAAGAAAAAAAAGGGGAGGCUUCCCGCCAGCAGGAGCCUAAAUAUAACAUGUUACAUUUAACGUACAAUACACACAAUAUAACCUUUACCAUUGUACGUAAUACGAGAAAUAUAUUUCACUGAAUACCAAACUUUUUUUGUGAUUCAAAUUUAACUUGUUGUUGACCAGUAUUGACAGGGUGAGUCUCACAUAUGCUCUGCUUAGGGAACAUGGUCCAUAACUUUAAAUCUCCUCACAAACCCCUCCUCUCCACAGCCUCAUGUAAAUAUUGUAUCCUUGGAGUCUACUGUUAUAAAGUGACAGACACAUCCUUUCUAACACAGUCUGACCAUGAUGAACACACUGGUCCUCCUGAUGGGGGCGCUCUCCCUGCCCUGUGUGAGUUGCCAGAUCCUCCAGUCCAUUCCAUCUUCUCCAGUGCUCAAAACUCCUCAGGAGUCUGUCAGUCUUUCCUGCAGUGGAUCUGGGUUUAACUUUUGUGGCUAUGGGAUGAACUGGAUUAGACAAUCUGAAAGAAAAGGGUUGGAAUGUCUGGGGCUCAUUUAUUACGAUGCGAGUAAGACGUAUUACGCAGACAGUGUUCAAGGGAGGAUAGAAAUCAGCAGAGACAAUGUCUAAACCUGCAGCCUGAGGACUCUGCUGUGUACUACUGUGCCCGACACACUGUGGUUUGACUUUAUUAUGAGUCUGUACAAAAACCAGCACAACCUCCAGGGGGCAGUAGAUGA